UACGGAGGGAGCUAGCGUUGUUCGGAAUUACUGGGCGUAAAGCGCGCGUAGGCGGCUUUGUAAGUUAGAGGUGAAAGCCCGGAGCUCAACUCCGGAACUGCCUUUAAAACUGCAUCGCUUGAAUCCAGGAGAGGUGAGUGGAAUUCCUAGUGUAGAGGUGAAAUUCGUAGAUAUUAGGAAGAACACCAGUGGCGAAGGCGGCUCACUGGUCCGGCACUGACGCUGAGGUGCGAAAGCGUGGGGAGCAAACAGG
rnacentral:rRNA from 1 species